GACGAACGCUGGCGGCGUGCCUAAUACAUGCAAGUAGGACGCAGUUGCGUACGGGAGAGUAACGCGUCGGUCACUACCUCUUAGUGGGGGAUAACAAUUGGAAACGAUAGCUAAUACCGCAUCCUAGUAGAUGGACCUGCGUUGUAUUAGGUAGUAGGUAGGGUAAUGGCCUCCCUAGGCAACGAUACAUAGCCGAGCUGAGAGGGGGGUCGGCCACACUGGGACUGAGACACGGCGCAGACUCCUACGGGAGGCAGCAGGAGGGAAUCUUCGGCAAUGGGGGGAACCCUUACCGAGCCACGCCGCGUGGGUGGAGAAGGUUUGCGGAUCGUAAAGCUCUGUUGUUAAGGAAGCGUUACUUAACGAGAAAGGGACGGCUAACUACGUGCCAGCAGCCGCGGUAAUUC
rnacentral:rRNA from 1 species